CUCUCGGUUCCCUCUCCCUCUCCAUCCCGACGCCAUGGGCGACGUUUGAGCACCUUCCGCUCUCCGGCCGAAUCUGCGAGUUCCCCUCCAUGGAUUUCAAAUCCACUGCACCCAAAGCUCUACCACCUCCCUAGCUUCCUCCUCAACCCCUCAAACCACAGCGACAACCCCACCUCGCCGGGAAUCCCGGAUUCCCCGGCCGCCGGUUGGAGUUUCGCCCAAACUCGACGUCACCGUGGAACUCCAUCGCUCGGCCACCAUUUCUUUCAUCCAAGAGCUCGAAUUGACACAUCCGCAGUUGAGAACGUUGUGUAUGAGGUGAUUGCGGCACCACAUGAGCAGCCGGAGCAAGCCCAGGAGGAGAGGCGUGAGAAACCGGCCCAAGGACCGUCUGACCCCAGCUCUGAGCAGCAGCCCAAAGGACACUCAGACGUAGACUUCUGUCCCUGCUGCGUUAAGUUCAUCCGCCGGGACGCAGAGGGAUGGAAGGUUGUGGAGCCGGAUACUUAGUUAGGGGACUCAUCGGGGUACACUUGUGGGCUGGGUGUACAUCCCGUUUGUUUUUGAUCGGCCGCCCGAUCUAUCCGUGGACUGGUGUGGCCGGUUGGGCAUAGGCAGUGCUAGAAGCAGUGGCAUAGUUGUAGGUCUUUUUUUCUAUUCAAACCUUGGUUCCAGCAAGGUAAAGUGUAUAAAAAUUAUGUAUGUAUUCAAAUUUGGUUUGUAAAACUUAUG